ncrna:unclassified sequences IMES-1 RNA motif
ACGAAACCGACCAGCAAGCAACUGCAGACGGGAGCUGGGGAGAAUCAGGAGGAAGAGACCGAAGGGCGAAAGCAUCACUAAGAGUCGACGAUAAAAAAGAGCUUAGUGAACCACCAAGAGGAAAAGAGAGAAUCCUCAAGGAGCUAAAGAGAAUCUCACUUUAGACCCCUUCGAAACUCGUUUGAGAAA